rnacentral:rRNA from 1 species
UAAUACGAAGGGGGCUAGCGUUGCUCGGAAUCACUGGGCGUAAAGCGCACGUAGGCGGCUUUUUAAGUCAGGGGUGAAAUCCUGGAGCUCAACUCCAGAACUGCCUUUGAUACUGAAAGGCUUGAGUCCGGGAGAGGUGAGUGGAACUGCGAGUGUAGAGGUGAAAUUCGUAGAUAUUCGCAAGAACACCAGUGGCGAAGGCGGCUCACUGGCCCGGUACUGACGCUGAUGUGCGAAAGCGUGGGGAGCAAACAGGAUUAGAUACCCUGGUAGUCCACGCCGUAAACGAUGGAUGCUAGCCGUUGGCGAGCUUGCUCGUCAGUGGCGCAGCUAACGCAUUAAGCAUCCCGCCUGGGGAGUACGGUCGCAAGAUU